GUGGUCUAGUGGUUAGAACAUCUGCCUCGGAUGCGGGAUGUCGCGGGUUCGAACCACGAUUUAGUCA